AGCCCUGCGGUGCCGGUCACGUCAGAUUGCAAACCUGAAGAAGCAGGCUCACAGCCUGCCGGGGCUU
rnacentral:tRNA from 1 species